GGUUAACGGAUAUCCCCGUUGUACAAAGCAACGGAGAUCCGUAGCAAAGCUUGAAAGGCUGGAACCCUUAAAAAACCCGUUGAAGGCUCUGCAUUUUCCUGUUCAGCGGACAUUCUCACAUGGCGAUUAUGUUAUUGGGGACCAUUGCCCACUGCUUCUCCGUUUAUGGUCUAAAUUCUUCUAUCAUUUCCUUGCUUCGCUCUCUUCUCUCUAGUUCCAUCUCUAUCUUUACUUUAUCUAUAAUCUGUCAAAUCUCUCUCUGUAUAUAUUUAUAUGUGUGUGUGUUUUAGGACCAUUUGGUAGCAUCACCUACCUUCUGCUCUAUCAAACACGCCUUUUGCAUGGACAUGUCUACUGUGUUUGAGAAACAGCAAGCAAGGCUCAAAUGGCUGCAGCACUAUUCCCUUCAAUCUGAUUCCAUGCCUCAUUUUCUUGGUUUCUUUGAUAAUGGAGAUACUGUUCAUUCGAAGAGACGGCCUGGAAAGUUUCUGGAUGUAGCAGCGCUUUCUAUUGAGAUUGAUCAUUGUCUUCCAAAGACUUCCUGCCGCCAAGUUGGGAUUGAACUUGAAGAGGCAGCAAAGAUGGAGGAUGGAGCCUUGAUGGAGAAGAUGCAAUCCAGCCACGAAAGAGUUUGUUCAAAUAAGAGAAAAGCAGAGCAUUUUGCAGCAGAAGAAUUUAGAGGACAAGUGGAAGUGCAGUCCAAGGUCAAGGAGAAAACCAGUACAGAAAUUUCAGCAGAUUCUUGGAAGGAAAAUCACAAGACUUCAGAGGUUCGAAAUCCAGAUUACAAUCAUGUACGGGCGCGUCGUGGCAAGGCAACUGACAGUCACAGCUUAGCAGAAAGAGCCAGGAGGGAAAAAAUAAGUAAGAAAAUGAAGUGUCUACAAGAACUGGUUCCUGGAUGCAACAAAAUUACAGGCAGGGCUGGAUUGCUUGAUGAAGUCAUCAAUUAUGUUCAAUCUCUUCAAGGACAAGUUGAGUUCUUAUCAAUGAAACUUGCAACUCUGGCUCCAAGGCAAGGAUUGAAUGGUGACAACUUUUCUGGGAAAGAGGUUAGACUGUAGCUACAUAGAAUAUCCUAAACAGGAAAAUUUCUCUUAGUUUCUUCUACAGCUAACCUGUUCUUCUAAAUAAUUAUCAAUGAAGUUUCCUGCUUACGUCGCAAGUUUUCAGACGGCCACAAUAUCAUCAGGAGUUAUCAAUUUGUCAUAGCUUGAACAUAAUUUAGUGCAACAAGAUGCAGGAGCAGAUAAUCCUACUCAAGCUGCGCCUGAAAGAACUACAAAAUGCUCCUUAGGGUUCAUCCCUGAACCAUGCCUCGACUCAUCUUGCUUCUCUGUAAUUGCUUCUUCACCAACCGGACUCUGCCAUUUUACUCUUCUUUUUUUUAAUUAUUAUUAUGUCUCGCUAACUAAAAGGUGUCACAAUUGCAUUGCAGCAAGCUCAACCCUUCUUGGAUCCUGACUCCCAAAUCCUGCACAAUGUAGGAUUUCACCAAGGUUGAUCAAACUGCUUUUCUUCUCCAACAUUUACUGCUACCACUAGCAUUGAUAAUUUAUAUACAUAAUUCAUGUCAGAUCGUGUUUAGAGUGUAAUUGAGUCAAGCUGUAACAAUAAUGUAUUUUUAUCCACAAACUUGGCUUCACGUGGUGCUCAAGAUACUCAUAUUUGAUUUGAUUAUCAUUAAGAGUUCGAUUUAAGUUUUAAUUAAUCUCAAAUUAAAACUUGAAUAAAUUCGACUUUGAACUUCAAUUUGUACCUUUU
rnacentral:misc_RNA from 1 species